rnacentral:rRNA from 1 species
UACGUAGGGUGCAAGCGUUAAUCGGAAUUAUUGGGCGUAAAGCGCGCGCAGGCGGUCCUUUAAGUCUGAUGUGAAAGCCCACGGCUCAACCGUGGAGGGUCAUUAGAAACUGGGGGACUUGAGUGCAGAAGAGGAGAGUGGAAUUCCACGUGUAGCGGUGAAAUGCGUAGAGAUGUGGAGGAACACCAGUGGCGAAGGCGACUCUCUGGUCUGUAACUGACGCUGAGGCGCGAAAGCGUGGGGAGCAAACAGG